GUGGGGAAUAUUGCACAAUGGGCGCAAGCCUGAUGCAGCAACGCCGCGUGAGGGAUGACGGCCUUCGGGUUGUAAACCUCUUUUAGUAGGGAAGAAGCGUAAGUGACGGUACCUGCAGAAAAAGCACCGGCUAACUACGUGCCAGCAGCCGCGGUAAUACGUAGGGUGCAAGCGUUGUCCGGAAUUAUUGGGCGUAAAGAGCUCGUAGGCGGCUUGUCGCGUCUGCCGUGAAAACCCAGGGCUCAACUCUGGGCGUGCGGUGGGUACGGGCAGGCUAGAGUGCGGUAGGGGAGAUUGGAAUUCCUGGUGUAGCGGUGGAAUGCGCAGAUAUCAGGAGGAAUACCGAUGGCGAAGGCAGCCAUCUGGCCUAAUACUGACACUGAGGUGCGAAAGCAUGGGGAGCAAACAGGAUUAGAUACCCCGGUAGUCC
rnacentral:rRNA from 1 species